rnacentral:rRNA from 1 species
UACGUAGGGUGCAAGCGUUAAUCGGAAUUACUGGGCGUAAAGCGUGCGCAGGCGGUUGUGCAAGACAGAUGUGAAAAUCCCCGGGCUUAACCUGGGAACUGCAUUUGUGACUGCAUAGCUGGAGUGCGGCAGAGGGGGGUGGAAUUCCCGGUGUAGUGGUGAAAUGCGUAGAGAUCGGGAGGAACACCUGUGGCGAAGGCAGCUCUCUGGGACGGUACUGACGCUGAGACGCGAAAAGCGUGGGGGAGCAAACAGG